GAACCUUCCCUUUCAUCCCUUCAAUCUUGCUUUCAUUUGAUUAAUAAAAAACUUCUUCUCUCAGCAGAGAUACUGGAGCACAGCCCACGGGGUGGGAGUGGAAGGAGGGAAUAGCUGCAGCUUGGCUUCUCCUCUCUGACCACCAGCCAGCUCCCUAUCUCGGGAUGGAUCCAGCAGCAGCGCGGGAGCUCGCAUCCAAGAAGCCCCAGUGCUUUGCCAGGGCCACACAGGGACAGUGCUAACCCUUGGGCCCAUUGAAGGAAGCAGCCGAGCUGCAGGUGAUGUCAAGAGGACCUGGCUGCUGUGCACAGCCUCCUUUUCUGGAUGGACACACCACCUCAUCUCUGAGAGAAGAAAGAAAACAAAGCAAUGUCAAAGGGAAAAAAAAAUAAAUCAGAACAAUCAUGUUUCAGCA